rnacentral:lncRNA from 1 species
UGUGGGGUGGUUAUGGGGGGAUAUGGGGUCAUAUGGGAGGUUAUGGGGGAUAUGGGGUGGUUAUGGGGUCCCUAUGUGUCCCUAUGUGUCCCUAUGUGUCUCUAUGUGUCUCUAUGUGUCCCUAUGUGUCCCUAUGGGUCCCUAUGUGUCCCUAUGGGUCUCUAUGUGUCUCUAUGGGUCUCUAUGGGUCCCUAUGUGUCCCUAUGGGUCCCUAUGUGUCUCUAUGGGUCUCUAUGUGUCUCUAUGGGUCCCUAUGUGUCCCUAUGUGUCUCUAUGGGUCCCUAUGUGUCUCUAUGUGUCUCUAUGUGUCCCUAUGUGUCCCUAUGGGGCCGUAACCCCCGUUUCUCCCCGUUCCAGCCCCACUGAAUCCCGUCUCACGGUGUCCGACAACUCGCUGCUCUGGAGCGCCCCCGUGCGGUACCGGGUGGGAGCCGCGGUCACGUGGCUGGAGGACUCCACCCCAUAUCUCAGCUUCACCCCCGGCCAGACCCACAACUCAACACUGAGGCACCAUUACCAGGUUCAGAUUUCUUCUCCUCCGGCCUCCCCCCGGUGCCCGUACUCGCCAACUCAUACCUCAGCUCCUUCCUGCUGCUGCCCCACAAGCUGCCCCCACGGCAUGGAAUGGAGCCCCAGCGUCACCAUGCCCCCGUUCCGAUCCCAUUUAUGCUCCCGUUUGUGGUUCCGGUUCGGUUCGGGGCUGUUCCAGCAUCACCCACAAGGGGGCGACAACGGGAUGCAGGGCACGACGGAGGUGGAGCUGCUGCCCCCCCCCCCCCCCAUUGCUCUUAAUGUACGUGGGGGGGCUGCGGCGGGGCGGGUGAUGCUGCUGCCCUAUGGGCGUCGCUGGGCGUGGCGCGAAGGUAAAUUUGCAUAAUUUGCAUAUUAAUGAGCUAAGGGGAUGGGGUGGGGGGUCACUAAUUAGGGUAAGGUUAAUUAGUCUGGAGGGGUAAAUUAAUUAAGGGGGUUAAUUAGAGCUUGUUAAUGGGCCGGGGGGGGGUGAUGCUGCUGCUCCUAUUGGGCGUCCUCCUGUCCAAGGUAAUUUGCAUAAUUGCAUAUUAAUGAGCUAAGGGGAUGGGGAUGGGGUUAAUUAACCAGGGGGGUUAUUAAAUGGGGAGUAAUUAAUUAAGGGUUUAAUUAGAGGAGGUCAGUUAAUUGGGAGGAUGGGCGAAGGGGCUGGGAUAGGGGGAUCACUCUAAUUAUCAGGGGAUAAUUAGGCAUAUUAAUUUGCUUAAUUAGCAUACUAAUGAGCUUACACAGGGGAUGGGGGGGCUUAAUUAAUAGGGGGGUUAAUAGUGGGGUGUCGCUUCGACUGGUAAUGUGUGAAUGUAAGGGAGUUAGAUUAGGAGCUUGUUAAUG